AGAGUUUGAUCAUGGCUCAGGACGAACGCUGGCGGCGUGCUUAACACAUGCAAGUCGAACGAGGUCCAUGGAGCUUGCUCCGGAAGACCUAGUGGCGAACGGGUGCGUAACACGUGAGAAACCUGCCCCAGACUUGGGAAUAACAGUCGGAAACGACUGCUAAUACCGAAUACCUUCACGACGUCGCAUGGCGAUGUGAAGAAAGCUUUUGCGGUUUGGGAGGGUCUCGCGGCCUAUCAGCUAGUUGGUGAGGUAACGGCUCACCAAGGCAUCGACGGGUAGCUGGUCUGAGAGGAUGAUCAGCCACACUGGGACUGAGACACGGCCCAGACUCCUACGGGAGGCAGCAGUGGGGAAUAUUGCACAAUGGGCGCAAGCCUGAUGCAGCAACGCCGCGUGCGGGAAGAAGGCCCUAGGGUUGUAAACCGCUUUCAGCAGGGAAGAAAAUGACGGUACCUGCAGAAGAAGGUGCGGCCAACUACGUGCCAGCAGCCGCGGUGACACGUAGGCACCAAGCGUUGUCCGGAUUUAUUGGGCGUAAAGAGCUCGUAGGCGGUUUGGUAAGUCGGGUGUGAAAACUCUGGGCUCAACCCAGAGACGCCACCCGAUACUGCUAUGACUUGAGUACGGUAGGGGAGUGGGGAAUUCCUGGUGUAGCGGUGAAAUGCGCGAUAUCAGGAGGAACACCAGUGGCGAAGGCGCCACUCUGGGCCGUAACUGACGCUGAGGAGCGAAAGCGUGGGUAGCAAACAGGAUUAGAUACCCUAGUAGUCC
rnacentral:rRNA from 1 species